CAGGACGAACGCUGGCGGCGUGCCUAAUACAUGCAAGUCGAACGAACGGAGGAAGAGCUUGCUCUUCCAAUGUUAGUGGCGGACGGGUGAGUAACACGUGGGCAACCUGCCUGUAAGUUGGGGAUAACUCCGGGAAACCGGGGCUAAUACCGAAUGAUAAGUAGUGACGCAUGUCAUCACUUUGAAAGAUGGUUUCGGCUAUCGCCUACAGAUGGGCCCGCGGUGCAUUAGCUAGUUGGUAGGGUAAAGGCCUACCAAGGCAACGAUGCAUAGCCGACCUGAGAGGGUGAUCGGCCACACUGGGACUGAGACACGGCCCAGACUCCUACGGGAGGCAGCAGUAGGGAAUCUUCCGCAAUGGACGAAAGUCUGACGGAGCAACGCCGCGUGUAUGAAGAAGGUUUUCGGAUCGUAAAGUACUGUUGUUAGAGAAGAACAAGGAUAAGAGUAACUGCUUGUCCCUUGACGGUAUCUAACCAGAAAGCCACGGCUAACUACGUGCCAGCAGCCGCGGUAAUACGUAGGUGGCAAGCGUUGUCCGGAUUUAUUGGGCGUAAAGCGCGCGCAGGCGGUCUUUUAAGUCUGAUGUGAAAGCCCCCGGCUUAACCGGGGAGGGUCAUUGGAAACUGGAAGACUGGAGUGCAGAAGAGGAGAGUGGAAUUCCACGUGUAGCGGUGAAAUGCGUAGAUAUGUGGAGGAACAC
rnacentral:rRNA from 1 species